rnacentral:lncRNA from 1 species
GCAGCUCUUUGCGUCAAGAAUACAAGUAAAAGCACACCAAAGAUAUAAACAUCAGUUCUUUCUGAACUUCGACGUGAGUUUCGGUGAGUAGGGUCCAUGUACGCCGAUGUCCCUAUUGCGAAAUUGUCUUGAACAUACAAUUGGUCAGGUGGAAUGGUUAUGGAGAAUGAAAAGUCGAAGAGUUUGGGAACAUAGUCAUCGUCCAAUAAAAUGCAGGUGGGUCUCAGAUUCCUAUGAACGAUGGGCGUUGGAAAGGCAGUAUGUAGGUAUGUAAGUGCACUAGCAAGCUGCUUUGCAAUACGCAGUCUAGUUUUCCACGGUAAUAAUUCAUUAUCCACUGCUAAACUUCCAUCAUUGUUGAGACCUCCCUUUCCUGCAUUUUCAAACACCAAAGCUGGUGUAUCAAACUCUAAGCAGCAGCCUAAUAAUUUCAAGGAAUUCUUAUGGGCGCUCAUCUGCAUUGAUAUGAUAAUAUCACGAAUAGCCCAGUCGACGAUAUAAUGCUUCUUAAUUAUAACUGUUCGGUCAUCUAGAAUACCCCUGUAAAUGUCGAAGUAUGUUCCAUCUGUAAUAAAGCAAGAGCGAUCAAAGUUGUUGGUAACUCUAUUGAGCUCAGCAGCAGAGUAACAACGAAUAGGAUGAGAUUUUCCAUCACAAGAAGCAAUUAGAUCCUCUAGUAACAUGCUUCCAUUCUUCAAGAAUGAUCUCUUUCUUUCCUCCUUUUCCUCCUUUCGCUUUAUACGUGGAAUGAUUGAGAACCUGAUAUAUAUGUACACACACGAAAAUUUUGGGCUUUCGUCAUAUUCAUGGAUUACUUUGAUUUACAACAGAAUUUUGGGCUUCAGCCGCACGAGAAUUUUAACUUACCAAAAAAACCUUGAAGGAAAGGAAAGCUAUAUACUUUUUAGACUUGAAAAAAAAAAACUUACAAGGCUUUGGAUGCCAUUGUUUACACUUGAAAUUUCUCUGUUUAGCACACAGGCCCCUUAGAACUGGACUCGGAUUGCCCCAAACUAAACUGUAAUUUGUUGAUAUCUCCUUCCCUGUAUGCUGCAGAUUUCGUACUCAAGCAUUAGUUUAGCUCGUGAGUUUCAGCUUCUCUGAGAAUUCUGUAACAGUUUCCAAGUUUAUUGAUGAAGCUUUGCGGGGCCAAUGCCCUAUCAUGAUUGGUAGGAAUAAUCUGCAGUGGGACCUAAAAACCCAACGUUUUAAAUUUAUUUUAGAAAGAGUUUUUGCCGCAUACUACUGAAACACCAUCAGAGCUCAAAUUAUAAAUAUGCAAAUCAAUAUUCUUUUUCAUCGUGAGACUAUCUUAGCAUUUUAAAAAGAUAUUUGUUUCUUUUUGCUUGUCCAAAUCUAUAAACAUUUGUUUAAUCAAAUUGGGAAGAUGCAUGGCAGCUGCGCCCAACUGAAGGGUAGACCUGUUGACUUGACUUGACUCCACUUGAUUCUUUUUAGAUUUAUAACGCGUUUGCUUGGAGAUCAUGGGACGAAUCUAUUCGGUGGAGUUGGAAUUUCCAAGUUGUAUCUCUAGAAACCACUCAUUAAUUAUUCGUUUGUACUCCUAAAAAGUAUAUAUCAUCACCCUCUUCCUCGUCAUCGUCUUUUCCGUGUUCCUUCCUCCCCCAAACAAUCACCUUUUGAGUUGAAAGAAAAAUUGUAAUAUCAAGAAAACCUCAAAAGGCCCAUUAUUAAGAGCACUUCCACCCGUGAGCUCAGCCAGACACAGCCUGACAUCAGUGAAUGAAUUUGUUUUUUGAAAAAUUACCAAAAAAAUUCAUUUGAGAAAGAGUAUAGUUUUGAAGUUUAUUGCUAUGGUUAAGUCAACGAUGCCAUUGCCAUCGAAUGAUCAAUGUCCAGUGGGGCCGACCAAAGCUAUUUACACGAAAUUACUAUUUUCCCUUUUCAUUAUCAGACACAAAGAAAAACAUAAUUACUCAAUAACUUACAAACAAAGAAACAAGAAGAACUUGCCUUGAAAUUGCUAGAGCACCAAAAAUAUACACAACAGAGCCCCACACAACCAACAGCUUCGGCUGAAUAAACAGAGCAAAACGGGAAGGUGCAUGGCAAAUAAGUUGUCCCAUGUCGGCUUGACUUUGCAUAGUUAAUUAGAGAGAAUUACUUGGAAAUGAUAGACUUCUCAAUUCUCAGGAGUUCUUUCGCCACAUCCAUCAUAUCUGGCCUUACUUCACUUUCUUCUUGGGUGCAUGACAAUGCCAGUGCUAGGAAAUCAUGCAAGUGCUGUCGUGCUUGCUCAUCUCCCCCUACCUCCCCUAAGAUUUUAGGGUCCGCAAUUGUUUGAAUCUGCCCAAUAUCUGAAGCUUUCACAUAUGCAAUAAUUGAUAGGUAUUCUCCUGCCUCAUAUGCAUCCACAGCCUUUUGUCCCGUUAAAAAUACAAGUAAAAGCACACCAAAACUAUAAACAUCACUUUUUUCUGAAAUGUAACCAGACUUCAUAUAGGAAGGAUCAAGGAAACCAAAUGUUCCUUUCACCUCAUCAUCAGCAUGUGAUUUCAUGGGAGGAAUGGUUAUGGAGAGUCCGAAGUUAGAGAGUUUCGGAGCAUAGUCAUGGUCCAAGAAAAUAGAACUGGGUUUUAGAGCCCUAUGAAUUAUGGGUCUGGGAAAGGCGGUAUGUAAAUAUGUGAUUGCACUAGCAAGUUGAAUUGCAAUGCGCAGUCUAGUUUUCCAUGGUAAUGAGGAUUGGUUUUCAGUAGUCCUUAAACCUCCUUGAUCGUUGAGAACUCCUUCUAUUGCAUAUUCAUGCACCAAAGCUGGUAUAGGGAUCUCUAAGCAGCAGCCCAAGAGUUUCAAAACAUUCUUAUGGUUGCUCAUCUGCAUCGAUAUGAUAAUGUCACGGAUGGCCACGGACCUAGCUUCAUCCCCAGUCCCCAUGAACUUCUUAAUGAUGAUUGAUCGGCCGUCUAGGAAACCCCUGAACAUUUUGUAACCACCAUAAACAUGUAUAGAAUGAUGAAAUUUAUACUUCGGUGCUGAAAAAUCUUGUAUAAUGCGAGAAGGAUCGAAGUUGUUGGUUGCCCUGAUGAGAUCAGCAGCAGAGUAACACCGAAUAGGAUUAGAUUUUCCAUCACAAGAAGCAAUGAGAUCCUCUAGUAAGAUGCUUCCAUUAUCCAAGAAUGAUAUCUCUCUUUCCUUCUUGUUACUGCUCAAACAUGGAACCAAUGGGAAGAACCUGAUACAAAUAUAUAUACAUAUAGGAAAAACACAAAACAGAUUAAUUAAAUUAUUAUAAUGAUGAAAAUGAUUUUGCCACUGGCAUAACACCUUCCAGAUAUCACCCAUUUCCUUUCAUUUUCUCUUUUGAAUUUGACAUGACAGUCUACGAGAUCAAAUCUACGGAUUUAUUUCCUCACAAAUGAACUUAAGGCUUCAGCCUUCAUAAAUUUUUUGAUCUAGCCUUCAUUAAUUUGAUUAGUUUCACUAAUAUCAAAUAUUAGAAGCAAAAAUGAAAAUAAUUAUAGGAAUAUCUCAAAUUAGUUCUAAAUCAAAAUAAUCCAUAUAUAAGGAUAAAUAAUCAGAACUUACAAGGUUUUGGAUGGCAUUCUUCACUUUUUGCUGUCUAGCACCAAGUCCCCUCAGAAUCGGAAUCAGAUUGCUCAAAAUAAACAGCAAUUUUGUUGAUUCUUCCGCCCAGAUCCAUUGCAGAUAUCAUGUGCAAGCAGCUGUUUAUUUCGUUAGUUUCAUUUUCUUUUACAGGAAUCUUGCAUUUGAGAAGGAAGAUAGGUUUGAAGCCUUAUUGGUAUGUGUAGAAAGGUCAACAAUAACAUGCGCCGCCCUCAUAUAUUUGACUUAUAGGACGACUUACUAACCAAGUUGGCAAACUGCAAGCCAUCUAGCCAAGUUGUAUAUCAAGAAACCAUUCAUUAUUCAGAUUAUUUUUAUUUAUCUUCACCCUUUUCCUAGUCAUUAUGUUUUCUGUUUUUCAUUCCUUCCUCCAAACCCCAUACAAUCACCAUUUGAUUUGAACAAAAACACGCAGCAUCAAGAAAUCGUCAAAUAAUGAGAAAAAUAACUUGCCUUGAAAUCGGUUGAGCAUGCAUAAGAUAUACACAAAGCAAACUAGGUAGCUGCAGGUUCACUAGUAGCCAAGCUAUAGCUAGCUAAGGCAAGAUAUUUCCACCCUGUCUACAGGAUACCAAACGGGCCCUUAUCAUCAACUCAUUAAUAGGUAAAAAAAAACUACAGCUAGCUAUAGCUAAGGCAAGAUAGACUUGUCAAUUCGUACAAGCUCUUUGGCCACAUCAAUCAUAUCUGGCCUUGCUUCAUUUUCGUCUUGGAUGCAUAACAAUGCCAGUGCUAGAAAAUCCUGCAGUUGUUGUUGUGCUUGCUCAUCUCCCACGACUUCCUCAAGGAUUUUAGGGUCCGCAAUUGUCUCUAUUUGAAUCUGUCCACCAGGAACAUUAAGUUUCGAAUCUCCAAUAAGGAGUUCAAUUUCUGCUCCAUGUCGUCUUGAUGCAGCUCUUUGCGUCAAGAAUACAAGUAAAAGCACACCAAAGAUAUAAACAUCAGUUCUUUCUGAACUUCGACGUGAGUUUCGGUGAGUAGGGUCCAUGUACGCCGAUGUCCCUAUUGCGAAAUUGUCUUGAACAUACAAUUGGUCAGGUGGAAUGGUUAUGGAGAAUGAAAAGUCGAAGAGUUUGGGAACAUAGUCAUCGUCCAAUAAAAUGCAGGUGGGUCUCAGAUUCCUAUGAACGAUGGGCGUUGGAAAGGCAGUAUGUAGGUAUGUAAGUGCACUAGCAAGCUGCUUUGCAAUACGCAGUCUAGUUUUCCACGGUAAUAAUUCAUUAUCCACUGCUAAACUUCCAUCAUUGUUGAGACCUCCCUUUCCUGCAUUUUCAAACACCAAAGCUGGUGUAUCAAACUCUAAGCAGCAGCCUAAUAAUUUCAAGGAAUUCUUAUGGGCGCUCAUCUGCAUUGAUAUGAUAAUAUCACGAAUAGCCCAGUCGACGAUAUAAUGCUUCUUAAUUAUAACUGUUCGGUCAUCUAGAAUACCCCUGUAAAUGUCGAAGUAUGUUCCAUCUGUAAUAAAGCAAGAGCGAUCAAAGUUGUUGGUAACUCUAUUGAGCUCAGCAGCAGAGUAACAACGAAUAGGAUGAGAUUUUCCAUCACAAGAAGCAAUUAGAUCCUCUAGUAACAUGCUUCCAUUCUUCAAGAAUGAUCUCUUUCUUUCCUCCUUUUCCUCCUUUCGCUUUAUACGUGGAAUGAUUGAGAAUGUGAAGUUGAGGUUCCACCCUAAAACCAAUUGGCAAUGGGGGUAGUAGCCCAACUCCUUAUAAGUCCUUGCAAGGUUUCACAACUUUCCAAUGUGGCACUCUUUACCUUCACAUUCUCACAAUAUGAUUUUUGGUCUUCGUAAUUUGGGUGAAGUUCUACUUUGCUGCAUUUUCAUGCACCAGAGCUGGGAGAGAAAACUCUAAGCAGCAACCUAAUAAUUUCAAAGCAUACUUAUGGGUGCUCAUCUGCAUUGAUAUGAUAAUAUCACGAAUAGCAUAAGACCUAGCUUCAUCCUUGUUGAUGUAUUCCUGUGUGAUGUACUUCUUAAUGAUAAUUGUUCGGUCGUCUAGAAUACCCCUGAACAUUUGGUAGCAUGGUGAAACGUCUUCCAUAAUAAUGCAAGAAGGAUCGAAGUUGUUGGUAGCCCUCAUGAGCUCAGCAGCAGAGUAACAACGAAUAGGAUUAGAUUUGCCAUCACAAGAAGCAAUGAGAUCCUCUAAUAACAUGCUUCCAUUGUCCAAGAAUGAUCUCUCGCUUUCCUUCUUGCUCAAACGUGAAACCAACGGGAAGAACCUGAUACAAAUAUAUAUAAUGUUGAAAUGGAUCUGGCCAAUGACAGAACACCUUCCAGAUAACUUGAAUACCCCAUUUUCCUUUCAUUUUUGCAUUUGAAUUUCACAUGAAAGUUUAUGAGAUCGAAUCUAAGGUUUUCUUUCCUUACAAAUGAACUGUUAGACUUCAGCCUCAUGAAAAUUUUGAUUUAGCAUACAAGAUCAAAUCUUUGACAUCAAUUAAAAUUUAAGUUAAUGUUGUUGAAAAACAGUCACACAUUAUUUCGAUUAGUUGCAUAAUAUGAAGUAUCAGAAGCAAGCAAGAAUGAAAAUAAUUAUAGGAAUAUCUCAAAUCAGGUCUAAAUUGAAAACAGCCAUGCAUAAUCAUUAAAAAAAAAAAAAAAGGGGGGAACUUACCAGACUUUCCAUGACAUUGUUCGGUUUUUUGCUUUGCAGCACUAAGUCCCCUCAGAAUUGGAAUCAGAUUGCACAAAAUAAGCAGUAACUUGUUGAUUAUUUCUCCGCAGAGUCCAGUGCGGAUCUCAUGUGCAAGCAGCAAUGUAUUUCUUUAGUUUCAUUUCCUUUUACUGAAACCUUCCAUUUGAGAAGGAACAGAGGUUUGAAGUUCAGUCGUAUGCGUAGAAAGGUCAACAAAAAUUAUGUUUAUGUAUUUUUAAUAUCACAUGCGCCCUCAUAUAUUGACUUAUAGGACGACUUACUAACCAAGUUGGAAAACUGCAAGCCAUCUUACCAUACCAAGUUGCAUCUCAAUAAACCACUCAUCAUUCGUAUUCUUAAAAAAUAUCAUCACCCUUUUCCCAGUCGUUGUCUCUUCUGUUUGUCGGCCUUCCCUCCAACCCUAAUCAGCAAUUGACUUGAAAAAACAAAAAUGCAACAUAAAUAAUUCACAAAUGAUGAGCAAAAUUUAAAAUCUAAAUGAACUUACGUUGAAAUUGGUUGAGCAUACAAAAGACAUACACAAAGCAAAGCUAACUGCAAUAGUUCUAUUGUGACUCUUUCUACUAAACGCCUAGCAAGAAAGCACCUACUAAUUACAUGCCAAAAUACCCUUUCCUCCCUGUUUAUGAUCAAACGCAACCAAAAAGAAAGCACUAUUCAAAAAUACAAGGAACCUGGGUCAUUGUGACAUAAUCACAAACACCAGCCAUGCCAGAUUUUCGGGUCAAAUGUUCUUUUCUGUUCCUCAUUUCUGUUGGAAUAUUGGGUUUUUGUGUUCUAGCUUCUGGGUUUCUUGGUGGGGAAACAUGUGUUUUGGCGCCAAUGAGUUUGCUUCCUCAAUUGUACUUACUUGCCUUGAAAUUGGUUGGGCACAAAAGAAAAAAAAAAUGAAAAAAGCAAAAUCCAUUAGCCUCUCAUCAUCUAUGGCUUCGAAAGCAUUUAAAUUUUGUAACAAUUUAGAAAUGAGUACAUAAAAUGUAUGUUGGUCUUAGAUCCCUACGGCUGAUGGGCCUGAGAAACGCAGUAUGAAGAUAUAUUCAGCUGCAUUAGCAAGUUGCUUUACAAUACUCACAUGAGAGAUCUAGAUUCUAGUCUCAGCUUUUAUAUUAGCUACAAAUUAACAGGAAAAAGAACAUAAUAGUAAUGUAUUGACAACCAACAACAAAAAUCAUAAUAAAGGGUAUACAGAGUUCAACAUUAACAGAAAAGAGAGAUCAACUUCCGAACAAUAGUCAUGUUGUUGAACCCAUAUCCAAUUGUUGGUCCUUUUUUCCGCCAAUAUAUAUUUUUUAAUAACAAAUAUAGUGGAUUGAAGCUAGCUGGGCAAAAUAGACUCGUCGAUUCGAACGAGUUCCCUCGCCACAUUGCUCAUAUAUGGCCUUCCUUCAAUUUCUUCUUUAGUGCAUGACAAUACCAGUUCUAGGAAAUCAUACAACUGCUGUUCUACUUGCUCAUUUCCCCCUACCUCCUCUAAGAUUUUAGGGUCCACAAUUGCCUGAAGCUGGUAAGCAUGUGAUCUCACAUAAACAGUAAGUGAACUAUACCUUCCUUCUUCCUGUAUAAUUGGGCAAGCUCUUCGUCCCGUCAAGAAUACAAGUAAAAGCACACCAAAACUAUACACAUCAGUUUUUUCUGAGAUGCGGCCAGACAUCAUGUAUGCAGGGUCAAUGUACCCAAUUGUCCCUUUCGGAUCAUCUUCAGCAUCAGAAUACGUAGGAGGAAUGGUUAUGGAGAGUGAGAAGUUGGAGAGUUUGGGAACAUAGUUGUGGUCCAAGAAAAUACAACCAGGUUUUAGAUCCCUAUGAAUUACGGGACUGGGAAGGGCGGUAUGGAGAUACGUAACUGCACUAGCAAGCUGCUUUGCAAUACGCAGUCUAAUAUUCCAUGGUAAUAUUAAGGGUUGAUCUUCAUUGUCUCUUAAACUUCCAUCACCUUCAAGAACUCCUUUUGCGGCAUUUUCAAGCACCAGGGCGGGUAGAGGGAACUCUAAGCAGCAGCCCAAGAGUUUCAAAACAUUCUCAUGGUUGCUCAUAUGUAUUGAAACAACAAUGUCACGAAUUGCCCGGGACCGAACAUCAUCCUCAUUGCCCCCUAAGUCAUGGGGCAAGCUCCCAAUGGAGUACUUGGCAACGAUAAUCGACCGGUCGUUUAGAAAUCCCCUGAACAUUGUGUAGUUUAAAUCCUUUCGUACAAUGCAAGAAGGAUGGAAGUUGUUGGUUGCCCUGAUGAGGUCAUCAGCAGAGUAACAAUGAACAGGAUGAGAUGAACCAUCACAAGAAGCAAUUAGAUCCUCUAAUAAUUUACUCAGAUUCUUGUAGUAUGAUGACUCAAUAUCAGCAUCUCUUCC